AUUGAACGCUGGCGGCAUGCCUUACACAUGCAAGUCGAACGGCAGCACGGGUGCUUGCACCUGGUGGCGAGUGGCGAACGGGUGAGUAAUACAUCGGAACGUACCUUAUCGUGGGGGAUAACGCAGCGAAAGCUGUGCUAAUACCGCAUACGCCCUGAGGGGGAAAGCGGGGGAUCGCAAGACCUCGCGCGAUUAGAGCGGACGAUGCCUGAUUAGCUUGUUGGUGGGGUAAAAGCCCACCAAGGCGACGAUCAGUAGCUGGUCUGAGAGGACGAUCAGCCACACUGGGACUGAGACACGGCCCAGACUCCUACGGGAGGCAGCAGUGGGGAAUUUUGGACAAUGGGGGCAACCCUGAUCCAGCAAUGCCGCGUGAGUGAAGAAGGCCUUCGGGUUGUAAAGCUCUUUUGUCAGGGAAGAAACACCGGCUCUAACACAGUCUGGGAAUGACGGUACCUGAAGAAUAAGCACCGGCUAACUACGUGCCAGCAGCCGCGGUAACAC
rnacentral:rRNA from 1 species